GAUGAACGCUGGCGGCGUGCCUAAUACAUGCAAGUCGAACGAAACUUCUUUAUCACCGAGUGCUUGCGCUCACCGAUAAAGAGUUGAGUGGCGAACGGGUGAGUAACACGUGGGCAACCUGCCCAAAAGAGGGGGAUAACACUUGGAAACAGGUGCUAAUACCGCAUAACCAUAGUUACCGCAUGGUAACUAUGUAAAAGGUGGCUAUACUACCGCUUUUGGAUGGGCCCGCGGCGCAUUAGCUAGUUGGUAGGGUAAAGGCUUACCAAGGCAAUGAUGCGUAGCCGAAUUGAGAGGUUGAUCGGCCACAUUGGGACUGAGACACGGCCCAAACUCCUACGGGAGGCAGCAGUAGGGAAUCUUCCACAAUGGGCGAAAGCCUGAUGGAGCAACGCCGCGUGGGUGAAGAAGGUCCUCGGAUCGUAAAACCCUGUUGUUAGAGAAGAAAGUGCGUGAGAGUAACUGUUCACGUUUCGACGGUAUCUAACCAGAAAGCCACGGCUAACUACGUG
rnacentral:rRNA from 1 species